rnacentral:rRNA from 1 species
UACGUAGGGGGCGAGCGUUGUCCGGAAUCAUUGGGCGUAAAGGGCGCGUAGGCGGGCUUAUAAGUCUGAUGUGAAAGUGCGGUGCUUAACACCGUAAAGCAUUGGAAACUGUAGGUCUUGAGGACAGGAGAGGAAAGUGGAAUUCCUAGUGUAGCGGUGAAAUGCGUAGAUAUUAGGAGGAACACCAGUGGCGAAGGCGACUUUCUGGACUGUAACUGACGCUGAGGCGCGAAAGCGUGGGGAGCGAACAGGAUUAGAUACCCUGGUAGGCCACGCCGUAAACGAUGAGUGCUAGGUGUAGAGGGUAUCGACCCCUUCUGUGCCGCAGUUAACACAAUAAGCACUCCGACUGGGGAGUACGGCCGCAAGGUUGAA